AAGCCAUCGAUGUCUAAGUACACAGACUAGUACUCUGAAACCGCGGAUGGCUCAUUAUAACAGCUAUGAUUUGCACGAGAUUUAAUCUUUAUUGCUACAAGAUAACUGUGGUAAUUCUAGAGCUAAUAUUUAUCUGAAUGCCGUGACUUGGNCGGAAGCGGCGGAUUUACUAGAUCAAAACCAAUCUGCCUGAAAGGCGGUAUUUGGAUGACUCUGGAUAACUUUAACUGAUCGUACGACCUUGUGUUGACUACAUAUCUCUUGAAGUGGCUGACCUAUCAACUUUCGAUGGUAAAGUCAAAGUUUACCAUGGUUGUCAACGGGUAACGGGGAAUCAGUGUUCGAUUCCGGAGAGGGAGCCUGAGAAACUGCUACCACAUCCUCGGAAGGCAGCAGGCGCGCAAAUUACCCAAUACCGGCUCGGUGAGGUAGUGACAAUAAAUAACAAUAUGGGCCCUAGUGGUUUCAUAAUUGCAAUGAGAACAUUUUAAAUACUUUAUCGAGAUACAAUUGGAGGGCAAGUCUGGUGCCAGCAGCCGCGUAAUUCCAGCUCCAAUAGCGUAUAUUAAAGUUGUUGCAGUUAAAAAGCUCGUAGUUGAAAUUGGGACGGAUUUGGGCUUGCGGUCCGAUGUCGUCGGCUUACUGCUCGUCUAGAUCUACCCGCCGGUCUUCCCCCGGUGCUCUUAGCUGAGUGCCUCGGGUUACCGGAAAGUUUACUUUGAAAAAAUUAGAGUGUUCAAGGCAGGCACUCCGCUUGAAUAAUGGUGCAUGGAAUAAUGGAAUAGGACCUCGGUUCUAUUUUGUUGGUUUUCGGAACUUGAGGUAAUGAUUAAGAGGGACGGACGGGGGCAUUCGUAUUACGGUGUUAGAGGUGAAAUUCUAGGAUCGCCGUAAGACGAACGCAGCGAAAGCUUUGCCAAGAAUGUUUCCCUUAAUCAAGAACGAAAGUCAGAGGAUCGAAGACGAUCAGAUACCGUCCUAGUUCUGACCAUAAACGAUGCCAACUAGCAAUCCGCCGGCGUUGCUUCGUUGACUCUGCGGGCAGCUUCCGGGAAACCAAAGUCUUUGGGUUCCGGGGGAAGUAUGGUUGCAAAGCUGAAACUUAAAGGAAUUGACGGAAGGGCACCACCAGGAGUGGAGCCUGCGCUUAAUUUGACUCAACACGGGAAAACUCACCCGGCCCGGACACUGGAAGGAUUGACAGAUUGAGAGCUCUUUCUUGAUUCGGUGGGUGGUGGUGCAUGGCCGUUCUUAGUUGGUGGAGCGAUUUGUCUGGUUAAUUCCGAUAACGAACGAGACUCUAGCCUAUUAAAUAGUUCACCGAUCACGAUUCGUCGGUGCCAACUUCUUAGAGGGACUAGUGGCAAACAAGCCACACGAGAUUGAGCAAUAACAGGUCUGUGAUGCCCUUAGAUGUUCGGGGCCGCACGCGCGCUACACUGAAGGAAUCAACGUGCGUCUUCCCUUGUCCGAGAGGAUUGGGUAACCCGUUGAUACCUCCUUCGUGCUGGGAUUGGCCAUUGUAAUUAUUGAUCGUGAACGAGGAAUUCCUAGUAAGCGUAAGUCAUUAGCUUGCGCUGGCUAUGUCCCUGCCCUUUGUACACACCGCCCGUCGCAUCAAUCGAUUGGAUGAUUCGGUGAAUGGUUCGGAUCGGGUUACAGCUAGCAAUAGUUGAACCUGAGAAGACAUGCUANNCCAAUUUUUA
rnacentral:rRNA from 1 species